rnacentral:rRNA from 1 species
GACGAACGCUGGCGGCGUGCUUAACACAUGCAAGUCGAGCGGUAAGGCUCCUUCGGGAGUACACGAGCGGCGAACGGGUGAGUAACACGUGAGUAAUCUGCCCUUCACUUCGGGAUAACCACCGGAAACGGUGGCUAAUACCGAAUACGACCAGUCUUCGCAUGAGGUGCUGGUGGAAAGUCUUUUCGGUGAAGGAUGUGCUCGUGGCCUAUCAGCUUGUUGGUGGGGUAAUGGCCUACCAAGGCUUCGACGGGUAGCCGGCCUGAGAGGGUGACCGGCCACACUGGGACUGAGACACGGCCCAGACUCCUACGGGAGGCAGCAGUGGGGAAUAUUGGACAAUGGGCGAAAGCCUGAUCCAGCAACGCCGCGUGAGGGAUGACGGCCUUCGGGUUGUAAACCUCGUUCAGUACCGACGAAGCGCCCUGUCGGGUGGUGACGGUAGGUACAGAAGAAGGACCGGCCAACUACGUG